rnacentral:lncRNA from 1 species
GUCUUUUUAAUUUCUUCUAUUUUUUUGGUUUUUUUUCGUUUUCUUUUGUAGUCCUUUUUUUGUGUUUCUUAGAGUGUGUAGGUGAAAUGGUGAGAGAUACCGAGAGUUUUUCUUUUUCUUUUUAUCCUUCAGCCAGUUGGAAAAUAUGGAGAGAGAUAUCUCCAGAAGGAUUCGGUGGUUGCCCCCACCACCCCACCUUUUUU